rnacentral:rRNA from 1 species
CUCCUUUUGGUGUCAGUUGACUUGAUUGGGCGGGUCCAAUAUCAGCCGGAUUCCCCUUGAGAGACUUUGGGGAGGCCUGACGGUCUCACCCAAUGGCUUGGGGUUCUGCCGGCUGUGAGGGGUGGCGAUUAACUCACAUUAAGCAAUCAACUCUAAAGACAGCUCGAUUGGCUAGCAUUGCUGGCUAUAGACUGAACAAAUACAGACAACUCUCAACAACGGAUAUCUUGGCUCCCGUAACGAUGAAGAACGCAGCGAAAUGCGAUACGUAGUGUGAAUUGCAGAAUUCCGUGAACCAUCGAAUCUUUGAACGCAAAUUGCGCUCGAGGCUUCGGCCAAGAGCAUGUCUGCCUCAGCGUCGGCUACUACCCUCAACUAAGUUUCCUAUGAAAGACUAGGGGAUGCCAGUUGGAUAUGGCAGUCCGGUUUGCCUUUCAGGUUGCCGGUCAGCUGAAAUAUAUUCACGCUCUGGGGGCUGCUUUCCUUGAUAGGCUACUUUCAAGGGGAGGCGAGUUCCGAUUUGGUAGGUGACCUUUGCCGGUUACAUGCCUUCGUUGCUCGCUAAGCGUCCCAGUAGUCGUUGUGCAGGACGCCUUUUGGCUUUCGACCUGAGGUCAGGCAAGAACACCCGCUGAACUUAAGCAUAUCAAUAAGCGGAGGAAAAGAA